rnacentral:rRNA from 3 species
GUUGACCUCGGAUCAGGUAGGGAUACCCGCUGAACUUAAGCAUAUCAAUAAGCGGAGGAAAAGAAACCAACAGGGAUUGCUCUAGUAACGGCGAGUGAAGCAGCAAUAGCUCAAAUUUGAAAUCUGGCGUCUUCGGCGUCCGAGUUGUAAUUUGUAGAGGAUGCUUCUGGGCAGCCACCGACCUAAGUUCCUUGGAACAGGACGUCAUAGAGGGUGAGAA